UGGAAGUGAUGAAAUAGAGAUAAUUGGAUGCGUCUUUGAAUGAGUGUGUGUGAUAAAUGGAAUUUAAAUGGGGUGGGGCGUGGGGAGUGUGUGUGUGUGCAUGUAUAGAAGAGGCUUCAAAUGGGGGCACUGACAAUGCAGUGCUGAUUCCGGAGUGCAUCUGAGGCAUGUUGUUAAAUCCUGGGGUGCCACAUUGCAACAUUGCCGAUGAUUAAAGCCCAAAAGAAGCCCACCAAGAGAAGCCUGGGCAUCCUAAAUCUCUAACAGGUUCAUUAAUGAAAGUGAUCCUGUGAUCUGAUCUGA
rnacentral:snoRNA from 1 species